rnacentral:rRNA from 1 species
GACGAACGCUGGCGGCGUGCCUAAUACAUGCAAGUAGGACGCAGUUGCGAACGGGUGAGUAACGCGUAGGUAACUGCCUCUUAGAGGGGGAUAACUAUUGGAAACGAUAGCUAAUACCGCAUACUAGUAGAUGGACCUGCGUGGUUUUAGCUAGUAGGUAGGGUGAUGGCCUACCCAGGCAACGAUACAUAGCCGACCUGUGAGGGGUAUCGGCCCCACUGGGACUGAGACACGGCCCAGACUCCUACGGGCGGCAGCAGUAGGGAAUCUUCGCCAAUGGGGGGAACCCGGACCGAGCAACGCCGCGUGAGUGAAGAAGGUUUUCGGAUCGGAAAGCUCUGUUGUUAAGGAAGCGGUACUUAACGAGAAAGGGACGGCUAACUACGUGCCAGCAGCCGCGGUAAUAC